rnacentral:rRNA from 1 species
GAUGAACGCUGGCGGCGUGCCUAAUACAUGCAAGUCGAGCGAACGGACGAGAAGCUUUCUUCUCUGAUGUUAUCGGCGGACGUGUGAGUAACACGUGUAUAACCUACCUAUAAUACUGGGAUAACUUCGGGAAACCGGAGCUAAUACCGGAUGAUAUUUUGAACCGCAUUGUUCAAAAGUGAAAGACGGUCUUGCUGUCACUUAUAGAUGGAUCCGCGCUGCAUUAGCUAGUUGGUAAGGUAACGGCUUACCAAGGCAACGAUGCAUAGCCGACCUGAGAGGGUGAUCGGCGACACGGGAAGUGAGACACGGAAAAGAGUACUACGGGAGGCAGCAGGAGGGAAUGUUACGCAAUGGGCGAAAGCAUGACGGAGCAAGGCCGAGUGAGUGAUGAAGGUCUAGGGAGCGGAAAACGCUGUUAUGAGGGAAGAAAAUAUGUGUAAGAAAAUGUGGACAGAGUGACGGUAACUAAACAGAAAGCAACGGCUAACUACGUG